ACAAUUCCCUGCUUGGGAAUGAGGAGCCGGUAUCAGGCACGCCCCCGCUCGGCCCACGACACCUUGCUUAGCCACACCCUCAAGGGAAUCCAGCAGUGAUAAACAUUAAGCUAUAAGUGAAAACUUGACUUAGUUAAAGCUAAGAAGGCCGGUAAAACUCGUGCCAGCCACCGCGGUUAUACGAGAGGCCUAAGUUGACAGACAGCGGCGUAAAGAGUGGUUAAGGAAAACACAAAACUAAAGCCGAACGCCUUCAGAACUGUCAUACGUUUUCGAAGGUAUGAAGCCCAACCACGAAAGUGGCUUUAUCCCCCCCCCCCUGAACCCACGAAAGCUAAGAAACAAACUGGGAUUAGAUACCCCACUAUGCUUAGCCCUGAACAUUGAUCGUUUAUUACACCAAACAUCCGCCUGGGAAUUACGAACACCAGUUUAAAACCCAAAGGACUUGGCGGUGCUUAACAUCCACCUAGAGGAGCCUGUUCUAGAACCGAUAACCCCCG
rnacentral:rRNA from 1 species